UCUUCCCAGGCCCACCAUUUUGAUCGAGUGCGGAGCAUUCGUCUUCUGGUACGGGGCCAUAGCUCAGCUGGGAGAGCGCGUGCUUUGCAAGCAUGAGGUCGUCGGUUCGAUCCCGUCUGGCUCCACCAGAUGGAAUUGAAGCUCGAGAAUGCCUCGUCAAAUUCGUCCGCGAAACAUCACUUCGCACUCAUUGGUCCGGAUGGACGGUGACGUGCGUGUUUUCUGACAUCGUAAAGAGGAGAUCGAUCCGAGUUUGGAUCUGCGAAGCAAUUCGCGGGUACCAUUCCUAAUCUCCAGAUCGUUUUCGGCGCUCGUUCAUCGCUACUCAUCGCAAGAUGAGUGAGAUGAGUGAGUUGUAAAACGAUCUUUGUAGCGAAGCUUGACCGCCUCGCUAUCGGGCCGAUCUUACGAAGCAAGCUGGUCUUUCUAGUCAAUGUCCGGCUGUGCAAUCGCAUUCAUCGAGGAUGCGCGCCUGGGACUUCGGUCUUUGGGCAAUUACACAGACAACAUUCUGCCGAGUGUGUGGACAUUGAUAAUGAGAGCAAUCAAGUGCCUUAAGGGUGUUCGGUGGAUGCCUUGGCGCUGAGAGGCGAUGAAGGACGUGCUACGCUGCGAU
rnacentral:tRNA from 1 species